UACGUAGGGUGCGAGCGUUAAUCGGAAUUACUGGGCGUAAAGCGUGCGCAGGCGGUUUUGUAAGCCAGAUGUGAAAUCCCCGGGCUUAACCUGGGAAUGGCAUUUGGGACUGCAAGGCUGGAGUUUGGCAGAGGAGACUGGGAAUUCCUGGUGUAGCAGUGAAAUGCGUAGAUAUCAGGAGGAACACCGAUGGCGAAGGCAGGUCUCUGGGCUGAAACUGACGCUCAUGCACGAAAGCGUGGGGAGCAAACAGG
rnacentral:rRNA from 1 species